GACGAACGCUGGCGGCGUGCUUAACACAUGCAAGUCGAACGGUAACGCGGGGGCAACCCUGGCGACGAGUGGCGAACGGGUGAGUAAUACAUCGGAACGUACCCAGUUGUGGGGGAUAGCUCGGCGGAAAGCCGGAUUAAUACCGCAUACGACCUACGGGUGAAAGCGGGGGCUCGCAAGACCUCGCGCUAUUGGAGCGGCCGAUGGCAGAUUAGCUUGUUGGUGAGGUAAGAGCUUACCAAGGCGACGAUCUGUAGCUGGUCUGAGAGGACGACCAGCCACACUGGGACUGAGACACGGCCCAGACUCCUACGGGAGGCAGCAGUGGGGAAUUUUGGACAAUGGGCGAAAGCCUGAUCCAGCAAUGCCGCGUGUGUGAUGAAGGCCU
rnacentral:rRNA from 1 species